GAUGAACGCUGGCGGCGUGCCUAAUACAUGCAAGUCGAGCGAACGGACGAGAAGCUUGCUUCUCUGAUGUUAGCGGCGGACGGGUGAGUAACACGUGGAUAACCUACCUAUAAGACUGGGAUAACUUCGGGAAACCGGAGCUAAUACCGGAUGAUAUUUUGAACCGCAUGGUUCAAAAGUGAAAGACGGUCUUGCUGUCACUUAUAGAUGGAUCCGCGCUGCAUUAGCUAGUUGGUAAGGUAACGGCUUACCAAGGCAACGAUGCAUAGCCGACCUGAGAGGGGGAUCGGCCACACUAGAACUGAGACACGGUCCAGACUCCUAAGGGAGGCAGCAGUAGGGAAUCUUCCGCAAUGGGCGAAAGCCUGACGGAGCAACGCCGCGUGAGUUGUGGAGGUCUUCGGAUCGUAAAACUCUGUUAUUAGGGAAGAACAUAUGUGGAAGUAAAUGUGCACAACUUGACGGUACCUAAUCAAAAAGCCACGGCUAACUAAGUG
rnacentral:rRNA from 1 species